GUACUUGUUUUGGCAGCACAUUUACUAAAAUUGGAAAUACACAGAGGAGAUUAGCAUGUCCCCUGUGCAAGCAUGACAUGUAAAUAUUUCAAGCAAUGCAUAAUUUU